UUCGGUAACUUAUCCCUUCUUCUUUUUUUAUUUCGAAAAUAAGACAAAUUAUUAUCAUGUCUGCAAGUCUAACUCGAUAGGUAGUAUUACAUUGUGAAUUUAAAUUUCAGUGGAGAGAUUUGUGCAAAUCAUACCUGAGAGAAGCAAAGUGGUACCAUAGCCAGUAUAUCCCAAGUAUGGAAGAAUAUAUGGACAACGCCUGGAUUUCAAUAUCAGCUCCAGUAAUAUUAGUACAUGCAUAUUUCCUCGUUGCCAACCCUUUAUUUGUGUGCUGGGGACUGCUAAAUCGUCAUUGUGCAUCACUUUUGGAUGAACCUGGUUCUUUUGAGAAUUUGCGCCAUUGUUCUUUGUUCUUUUCAACUGAAGCAGAAUUCUUAACAAACUCGGAGAGUCCUUGCCUCAAAGCCCCUAAAUUUACCCCUUUGCCCACCAAUAUACUUGUGACACCCAUUUUUGAAACCGCCUGUAUGUUCCGAUUUUCAUCAUCAAAAAACAGCAUCUCAUUGUAGGGCACCGUAGUCUUUCGGUUGAUUUUCUGAAAGUGUUCCGUCUUGUGUGUCCAACUGGAGAAUAUCUCCUGGGCUACAAACAUU
rnacentral:misc_RNA from 1 species